UGACGUAGGUGGCAAGCGUUGUCCGGAUUUAUUGGGUUUAAAGGGUGCGUAGGCGGCUUUGUAAGUCAGGUGGUAGAAAUACUCCAGCUUAACUGGAGGGGUGCCAUUGAUACUGCGGAGCUUGAGUACAGAUGAGGUAGGCGGAAUUGACGGUGUAGCGGUGAAAUGCAUAGAUAUCGUCAAGAACACCGAGUAGCGAAGGCAGCUUACUGGGCUGUAACUGACGCUGAGGUGACGAAAGGCGUGGGGAGCAAACAGG
rnacentral:rRNA from 1 species